GUCUUUAAGAAAAUAUUUUAAAGUCUGACCUGCUCAAUGAAUAUUUAAAUAGCUGCGGUAUCAUGACCGUACAAAGGUAGCACAAUCAAUAGUUUUUUAAUUAAAAGCUGGAAUGAAAGGUUUGAUGAAAUAUAUACUGUCUUAAGUUAAAAUAUUAAAAUUUUUUUUUUAGUAAAAAAACUAAAAUAAUUUUAUAAGACGAGAAGACCCUAUAGAUUUUUAUAAUUUUAGUAUUAAUAAAUUAAUUUAAUUAAUUUUAUUUUAAAUAAUAAGUUAUUUGGUUGGGGAGAUUAUUAAAUUUAAUUAACUUUAAUUAUUUUUGACAAUAAUUAUUGGUUUAAUGAACUAAAAAUUUUAAUUGGAGAUUAAAAUACCUUAGGGAUAACAGCGUAAUUUU
rnacentral:rRNA from 1 species